rnacentral:rRNA from 1 species
AUUGAACGCUGGCGGCAGGCCUAACACAUGCAAGUCGAGCGGAUGAAGGGAGCUUGCUCCUGGAUUCAGCGGCGGACGGGUGAGUAAUGCCUAGGAAUCUGCCUGGUAGUGGGGGAUAACGUCCGGAAACGGGCGCUAAUACCGCAUACGUCCUGAGGGAGAAAGUGGGGGAUCUUCGGACCUCACGCUAUCAGAUGAGCCUAGGUCGGAUUAGCUAGUUGGUGGGGUAAAGGCCUACCAAGGCGACGAUCCGUAACUGGUCUGAGAGGAUGAUCAGUCACACUGGAACUGAGACACGGUCCAGACUCCUACGGGAGGCAGCAGUGGGGAAUAUUAGACGAGGGGCGAAAGCCUGAUCCAGCCAUGCCGCGUGUGUGAAGAAGGUCUUCGGAUUGUAAAGCACUUUAAGUUGGGAGGAAGGGCAGUAAGUUAAUACCUUGCUGUUUUGACGUUACCAACAGAAUAAGCACCGGCUAACUUCGUG